rnacentral:tmRNA from 1 species
GGGGCUGAAUUUUAAGCUCGACAUUGGUUUUAUCGGUUAUGUUUGCAGGUCGCUUACCCAGCGUCAUAGGGUAACCAAUCUUAGAUGCAAAUUCUAAAUUGAGCGCAUUGUUUGCUAAGGGUCGCGCAGCUUCAAACCUGUUCACUCCUAGCCAGGCAUACGCAUUCCAAACAGCCUAAGUGCAGUUUGAACGCCCUAGCGACUUCAGAUAGCUAGUCAGCGUUACAUAUUUCUGGACGCUCGGCCGGGUUUAUCCAGCCCGACCGCUAAGCCUAGGAUUGCUCGUGUGUGAUGUUUGUCUGUUUCGAUACACACAUGCUAAGACAGCAAAAUAGACUAAGCCUGUAGAAAACUAACCAAGAUACACCGAUGGACGCGGGGGCAGUACCCGCCAGCUCCUCCA